GACGAAGGAUGCAAGCGUUAUCCGGAUUCAUUGGGUUUAAAGGGUGCGUAGGCGGACUUGUAAGUCAGUGGUGAAAUCUCUUUGCUUAACAAAGAAACUGCCAUUGAUACUGCAGGUCUAGAGUAUAGAUGACGUUGGCGGAAUAUGACAUGUAGUGGUGAAAUACUUAGAUAUGUCAUAGAACACCGAUUGCGAAGGCAGCUAACGAAACUAUAACUGACGCUGAGGCACGAAAGCUAGGGGAGCAAACGGG
rnacentral:rRNA from 1 species